rnacentral:lncRNA from 1 species
AGGUGGGUUGUGCUUUACCGAAGUGAUUAGGUCACUUCCAUGCCAAAGUAAAUCGUGGUUUCAUUUGAUGCAUAUAUGAAUGAAAUUGUCGAAAUGUAAACAUAGAUGCUAAAGCAUACAUAAUUGUUGACACAUGAAAGCGAACAUUUGAUGCAUAUGUCUAAACAUACAUGAAUAUGAAUAUGGAUGAUCAUGUUAGAUAAUAUAUGACCAUUGACAUAUGAAUGCUAGAUGCCUAUGAAUGCAUGAGUGGUAAAUACUAGAGACAUAAGAAUAAAUAUAUAUGAAUAUGAAUCUCAUGCUAGAUGAUACAUGAUGAUUGUCAUAUGACGAACAUGCUAGACGCAUACGAAUGCAUUGUAGUUCAUGCUAAAUGCAUAGGAUUGUCGGUAUAUGAACAUAUGAAUGAUAAAUGAUAUAUGAAUGUUGAACAUGCUAAAGUCACAUAAGUUGAAUAUAAAACGUGUAAACCAUAAUCCUAGGAAUGGACAACUAGGAUCAUACAUAGAUCGAGUGGCAUGGCAUGAACCUAGGGUUAUUAAACGUAGGUUGGAUAUGAAAUGAACCUAGUGUUAUUAACCAUAGGUUGGACAUAAAAUGAACCGAGUGUUAUUAAACAUAGGUUAAAUAAGAAUGAUGUUAAACCUAAUUUAAAGAACAUAGGUUGUGAAAUGAAAAGUGCUUAACCUAGAGUCAAGUGAACCUAGGUUGGAAAGAAUGAUGGUCCUAGGGAUAAUAAACCUAGGCUAAGAAUAUAAUAAGAAUCGAACCUAAAGUGUUAAAUUAGGUCGAGUAAAGACUUGGACCUAGAUCGGUCGAUUCCAUAGGGUUAAGACUAACCCUCGAAUAAUGUGAAAUGGAUUCCGGAAUCUCAAAGCUUGUUGAUACACCCAAAGGGGUGUCGGGUGUGUGCGACGAUUUCGCCGCCCAAGGGCUAAAGAACCAUUGUCGUGGCGUGUGCGACGAUUUCGCCGCCGGAUGGUUAGCCAGUUUAUGGAUCCUACCGCCUGUUGACUGAACCACUGUCGUGGCGUUGUGCGACGAUUUCGCCGCCGGGUGGCUAAGUCAUUUACCUAGGCCGUUGUUGGGUGAGGUGCGAUUGUUCGCCACCAGACGGCUAGGACAGGAGUACGGUGAGCUGUUGCCAGCUGAGGUGCAUGUGAGAGUUCCUUCACCUCGAGCUAGACAGUGCGCGGACUAUCCGCGAUUGAUUGACUCAAGACCGAGUCGGGUGGCUAGAUGACUAAGGUAAAGUAAUCUUAGGAAAGAAUCGCCAGUGAGCACAAUAUGAUAAAGAAUAAAGAAUAAAAAUAAAGAAUAGCUAAUGAACGUAAAUAGCUAAUAAAGAACGGCUACAAGUAAAGAAUGGUUAAAGAUAUAAAGUAGGAUCAGUAGAUCUACUUGUUACAUAGUUGCAUGAUUUACAUAUUGCAUAUCGCGAGGCAAGGUAUGGUUUUAUUAAUUGUAUCAUCGAAUAUCUAUCUAUCUGUUCAGUUUACUAACCUGCAGUUGCCUCCUUUGGACCUGGUGGGUCGAGCUCUUCCCUUGGGUGGCCGUACCCACUGGGAACUAUAUUUAUAUAGUUCUCACCCCCGUGUUGUUUUGGGGGUACAGGUUAGCACGUGAGCGGCGCGGCGGCGCGAGGACAGGGCGUAGCUCCGUAGAUAGCGCCCUACCACCGAGACCAGAGAUAGCAGUACCUUGAAGUGGUCUAGCAUCAGAGUUUAGAGUGUAAAUUGAAAGAAUCAAAUUUGUAGUAAAUUGUAUAAGUUGUAAAUUGUAAAAUUGUAUAGAGGCUUAUGUAAUAACUUAAAGGUAUUUGAGAUUUUGUAAAUGUAAAAUCUGUGAGAUGAAUGCUUGUAAUAGCAUUGUUAGCCUUUUAUGUUUUUUGAUACUUAUACAAUCUAUGUGUGAAUGCUGUUCCUGGUUGGGACCUCUUCUGUUGCAUUAUAUGGAUUGUGACGCCUAGGACGUACAGGGAAAGCUCUGUCCGUUCGGCGGUCUGUCGGCGUGCCCGAAUCUGACCAAAUUGGCGGAGCUCGGGGCGUGACAGAUUAAGUGGUAUCAGAGCAUAAAAGAGCAUAAAAAGAAUAAUAGAAACGGUUUAGAUGGACCUAGGAGACCUAGGAUAGUAAACCGUAAGGACUUACACUCGUGAGAGACGAGGACUUGUACGUGUGGCGAAAGAUAAAUCGAUUGGGUCAAGUUUAGUAAACCUCUAUGACGGAUAUUAGAGGUAGAUUCAAGGUUCAAUUUAUUCUCAGCCAAGUGAGUUCAUGUUGGGUCGACACAACAUGAAACCGAGGGAUGGGAAUAAACUUCCUUGCAUGACUUUCGCCCGAUUUGAGUCGGUAUUAAUUAUUUCGUAUUCGACCCAGGAGGUCGAGGACUAACUGAGUUGUCGUGUUUCAGGAAGCGAUGGCGCCGCGUAGGCGAUCUUCGUCUAGAUCGGCGCGGGAUAGGACAAGUGGUGUCCCUGAGAAGACUGAGGCGAGCGGAGACUUGGAGCUUCGUGAGCAGUUGACCACACUCGUGGGAGUGGUGAGGCAACAGGCGGAUGUAGUGCAGCGUCAGCAGGACGCUGCUCUGCGCCAAGAUGAGCGGAUAAAGAGACUCCAGGAGACGGUGGAUCAGUUAGUGACUGCACCAGUUUUGGCUCGUCGUGUACGGCCAGGAGUCGCAGCGGAGGCAUUCCAGUCGGGCUCGAGCAAUCCGACUGCUCUUAGUUCAGAGAUGGAAGCGGAAAGGGAGCGUGCUUUGGCGGCUCUCAUGACCUUCAAGAAGUUUGAUCCUACUACUUUCGAUGGAGAGGACAUAGAUCCAUGGACUGUGGAGUCGUGGAUUGAUUCCAUAGAGACUGUCUUCGAGGAUUUGUACAUGGUGGAGCGGGACAAGGUACACCUAGCCGUGCAUUGUCUACAAUUGUCGGCGAAGGAAUGGUGGAAAGGCGUUAAACGGAACCGAUCGCCUAGUCUCCCUCCGAUGACUUGGCAAGAAUUUCGGGAGUUGAUACUUUCAGUUUAUUUCCCCGAUAGUGAAAAGAGAAAGCUUCGGGACAGAUUUCGAAAAUUGCGGCAGGGAGACCGCCUUGUGAGGGAAUACGAGCAGGAAUUCUCUCGUAUCGUGAACUAUAUUCCAAGUGUGGUACGGGACGACAAGGAUCGAGCUGAUUGUUUUGUACGAGGACUUCGGCCUGGUAUUUUUGAAGCAGUGCAUAAUCUAAAGUUGCAGACUUUUGCUGAAGUCUUGGAUCGGGCCUUAUGGAUAGAACAAGGCAAUGCAUCGGUGCAGGAGGAGCGCGAAUCUUAUUACAAGGAAAAAGGAAAAGAACGACCAGCGAGUGGGUAUGAUGGUCAGUCAAGUUCUCAGCGGACCACUGGGAGUUCGCGCUCGCGAUCCCGAGCUCCGGGGACGUAUCGCAGUCGAUCCUCGGCAUGUUGUGUUAUUUGUGGGGGUCCUCACUACCCACAGCAGUGUGAGCAACGAGAUGGCAAGUGCUUCAGGUGUGGGCGGCCAGGUCAUGCGCGGGACGAGUGUCCACGAGGUGCUAACCAAGCCUUGACGCUGGCGACGGCAUUUUCACCUGCGGCACGGUUUGGAGAGCGACAGAGGAUAAGGCAACCGAGGGGUUCGCGAUGGGCAACAAGUGGUCGUGGAUAGGCGACCCAUGCGGUGGAACCUGCUGCGACUGGUAGUAAUGUAGCAGGUAUGAGUUAAUUACAGCAAGCAUGUUUUCUGCAUUAUGUAAAUUUAGUGCAUUGCAUGCAUUGAUUACGUAGUCGUUACUACUAAUUGUGCGGUAGUAUUGCAGAGACCAAGCAGACGGGUAAAUGUCCCAGUUAUGCUUGUGUAUGUAAGUUGUGGUAUCUGUUGAGGCAGGCAGAGAGUUCUAGAACACUAGCAAUCGCUGGUGAUAGCUUGUGAAUAAAGAGUGGAACUCUUGUGAGACCGAGCGUUUUGCAGAUUGUUCCGGUAGAUCGAAUAGUGAAAGUAGAAUCACUAUUGAGGAAAUGAUCGGUUAACGGUCAGGUGCGUGCACGUGGACCUAGUAGUACCUCGGAUUGAGGUAAGUGGGUCGUGCUCGUGUAGUCGGUGUGCAUAGGCAAGAGUUGCCUGAUGCUAGAUUUAGUAUAGCACGCUAUAGAGUCGUGUAGAGCACUCGAGUAUAGGUACUCAUAGAGUGUGGAUUUGAUUCAGCCGUGAGUGCUUUGGCAGUAGCACUUUAGCGCUACUAAGGGUGAAGCGUGCCAGAGGUCACUCGCAGGGCUGGUGGCUCGCACUAGGUGCUUAAGAGCCGUUAGAGUGUGUAGCUCUGUAGAGCAUGUCGUGUAGGACGAUGUUGGCGGGUAGUGCUUGGGGACGAUCCGUGCCUGGACCAAAUGUGGACUGUGGAGCCUGGACCCAUUGGGCAGGCGCAGUCAGCUGUGAGAGGCAGCGGCCCGGUACCUACGGGUAGGGUAGAGAGAUUUGGUCAGGACGGUAGUCCGAGCAUGGAUUGGUAACGUGGUAAAUCACGUAUUGAAUCGUGUUGUUGGUAGUAUGCCUGGAAGGCAGAUUUGACCUAACCCUAAGAUUUAUAGUGGUUAGAGAUUGAAAUUACUCCUAGUUGGAGUAGGUAUGCGAUAUCUCAAAUAAGAACUGUGUCUCGCGAUAAUUGGGUCUACGCUUGCGAGCGAGAGACGUUGAGUUAAGUGAUAAGUCUAGCAAAUCGCCGAUCUGAUUUGCGAACAGAUUUGUGGUAAUUGAGACAAGUAGUUUACCCAUGUGUUUAGGGACCGUGAGAGCGAAGGCUUGGUCCUGUGGAUUAUUUAGUCAGAAUUGCUAAGAUAAGCAUCGAUGACGAGCUGAGAUUGGAAACGCAAACAAAGUGUUCGUAGAGACUGAUUCGGAGGAAUCGGGGUAGCAUGGACUGAAAUUCAGAAGCUAUGGAAUGAAGUUGAGAAACUUUGGAAGAGGGUUGAAAUUUAUCUCCAUCCGUUAAGUAAUGAGGAAUAAGAUGUAUCUGAGUUUCGCGGACGAAACUUUUGUUAACGGGAGGAGAAUGUAACAUAUGGAAACUUGGAGUUGCGAUGUCAACUUUGACCUAGAGGGUCAAAGUGAGGAUUGAGCUAGUUGGACAUCAUCCCCGAGUGAUUUGUGAUGCGUGUGAAUGAAUUCUGGAGAUAAAUAAGUGUUUCGGCGCAAAUUGGGCGCGAAACGAAAUGUAAAGAGAGUAAAGAGAAUUUUCGAAAUUCCGAUGCUAACUUUGAUUAAAAGAAUUAAAAUAAGGCGUAAGGAUAAAUUGUGGUAUCUCCGAAUCAAUUGUGAAGUUUUGGUAAAGCCAAGGGUGUGUUUUCACAGGGUUUGAAGAGCUCAGUGCGAAGUGGUAGUGCAAAAAGGCCAUGUAAUGGAAUUGGAGCCGAUUCUAUUUCUAAUUCGGCUCAAAUAAUGUCAAAAUGAAAACGAAUUGCUUCCAAAUUGGAUUGGUAGCUUGUGAAGGUCCCUUGGUAUCUUUUGGACAUGUUUGGGUGAAAUCGGAGUGAAAACGAAAACUUUAGAAUUUUCUGUAAAGAACGGGACUGAGAAAAUUAGCAGAAAAUGCACAGUGUCAGAAAAUUAUGAAAACUGGCAGAGAUGUCAGGAACAUUUUUAUGAGGCUAGAUUUGAAGUUUCAGAUUUUUCUGACACCUGUAGAGAGAGAAAUAGCAUUUGGAAGUUAUCGGAUAAAGAUUACAGUUCGGGACAGUUCGCAGUGACCAAACGGGGUCGAAACUGAAAUGUUAAAAUUUCAGUGGACUUGUUAAGUAAAACCGAGCAUGCCUGUCAAAUUUGAGCUCAAUCGGACAUUUGGAAGGGCCUGCGAAAGGUAUCUGAUCCGAGUUGCUAAACGGAUUAGUAGAAGGGCAUUAUGGUAAUUAUUCCAUUACUUAGUGGAUUUCCACUAAGCUGCCAGGGGCAUCUUUAUCCUCUUCACCCUCCUGUACGCAUGAGAGAGAGAGUGAAAGGAAGAGAAAAGGAAUAGAGAGAAGAAGAAGAAGAAAGUAACAUAUUUUGGUGCCGUUUGUCGAGCCGAUCGAUUCCCCGCGCGCGUUGGAUUUUUCCGGCGCUUCGAUUGCGAAGUUAGUAUUCUAUUAUUAUGGUUUCAAAUCAGGUUUUGGUGAAUUCUUGACAGUGGAUGCUAAGAAAGGUGUUCUAGAUGGAUUUUCAUUGAAAUUGAAGUUUAGAAUUGAAUCUAUGCUAAAAUUAAAGUUCAGAAAUCGAUUUCUAUGUGAUUUAGAAGCCGAUUUUGCGAGCGUUUCGUCGACGGAUUUUUCCGUGACUUUCGGAUUGUUGUGGCUGCCAUGCGGAUUGGGUUUGGGCUGUGAGGUUGCUGCCAAGUGCAGGAAUUGCAUUGAUUAAUCUUGAUUAAAUGGAUCAAGAUAAUGCAAUAAAUAAAGUUGGUUUGUUCUUGGAUUAAAUUGGAAGCUCGUGGAGGUUCAUUAGUAUAUUGUGGAAGUGAUUAGAGGUGCUCGAAGUGGAUUGAAGUGCUGAAAUGGGCUGCUAUUGUUGCUGCUGCUGUUGUCUAGUGCAAAGAAAGGGGCUGCAGGGACUGUUUUGUAAAAAAAAAACUGCAGGGACUGUUUUGUAAACCAGAAUUUCAGCAUUGUGUGUUGGGUGUUGGCCUUGGCAGCUAGGAGUAAACAACCAGCUCUUAUGCAGGUUUUGAUUAGGGAUUGAUGUAAAUCUCUUCAAUCUCUUCGUUGAAGGUCUUUGGGGUAUUGGAACUUCGAUUGGGGUAUAGAAAAGCUAUAUGUUGUGUAAAUAACAUAUGAGCUUUUAGGUUGAUGUGAAGCUUUAGGAAUGAGAAAUAACAGGAGUUGAUUUCUAAUAUUCCUAAGUUAGUGGCUUCGAGUUUGUCGGAUUAAUGAAGCCUAGGUUUCUAUAAAGGUUCUUAUAGAACCUGUAUAGAAACAGGUUGUAUUAAGUGUAGAGUGUGUAUAGUGAUAGGUUAAUUGGAACCUAAACUUGAUAAUGCACUUUUGCAGGAUAGAAGUCCUAAUGUGAAAUUGACCGCGUACAAACCUAAUUGAGGGUAAAGGAAACGCGUUGGCGAAGUCGGUUCGGCAAUCCGUCGAGCCUACGCGAAGAUAUCGCCGAAAGAAGAUUUUUCGGCUACAAUUGGCACGAGCGCGGGUCGCGAAUCUCGGGAAAGCGCGGGAAGCGAAUUUCUCGCGUCCAGGUAUCAACUAAAGGUGGGUUGUGCUUUACCGAAGUGAUUAGGUCACUUCCAUGCCAAAGUAAAUCGUGGUUUCAUUUGAUGCAUAUAUGAAUGAAAUUGUCGAAAUGUAAACAUAGAUGCUAAAGCAUACAUAAUUGUUGACACAUGAAAGCGAACAUUUGAUGCAUAUGUCUAAACAUACAUGAAUAUGAAUAUGGAUGAUCAUGUUAGAUAAUAUAUGACCAUUGACAUAUGAAUGCUAGAUGCCUAUGAAUGCAUGAGUGGUAAAUACUAGAGACAUAAGAAUAAAUAUAUAUGAAUAUGAAUCUCAUGCUAGAUGAUACAUGAUGAUUGUCAUAUGACGAACAUGCUAGACGCAUACGAAUGCAUUGUAGUUCAUGCUAAAUGCAUAGGAUUGUCGGUAUAUGAACAUAUGAAUGAUAAAUGACAUAUGAAUGUUGAACAUGCUAAAGUCACAUAAGUUGAAUAUAAAACGUGUAAACCAUAAUCCUAGGAAUGGACAACUAGGAUCAUACAUAGAUCGAGUGGCAUGGCAUGAACCUAGGAUUAUUAAACAUAGGUUGGAUAUGAAAUGAACCUAGUGUUAUUAACCAUAGGUUGGACAUAAAAUGAACCGAGUGUUAUUAAACAUAGGUUAAAUAAGAAUGAUGUUAAACCUAAUGUAAAGAACAUAGGUUGUGAAAUGAAAAGUGCUUAACCUAGAGUCAAGUGAACCUAGGUUGGAAAGAAUGAUGGUCCUAGGGAUAAUAAACCUAGGCUAAGAAUAUAAAAGAAUCGAACCUAAAGUGUUAAAUUAGGUCGAGUAAAGACUUGGACCUAGAUCGGUCGAUUCCAUAAGGUUAAGACUAACCCUCGAGUAAUGUGAAAUAGACUCCGGAAUCUCAAAGCUUGUUGAUACACCCAGAGGGGUGUGGGGUGUGUGCGACGAUUGCGCCGCCCAGGGGCUAGAGAACCAUUGUCGUGGCGUGUGUGCGACGAUUUCGCCGCCGGAUGGUUAGCGAGUUUGUGGAUCCUACCGCCUGUUGACUGAACCACUGUCGUGGCGUGUGUGCGACGAUUUCGCCGCCGGGUGGCUAAGUCAUUGAACCUAGGCCGUUGUUGGGUGAGUUGCGAUUCGUUCGCCGCCAGACGGCUAGGACAGGAGUACGGUGAGCUGUUGCCAGCUGAGGUGCAUGUGAGAGUUCCUUCACCUCGAGCUAGACAGUGCGCGGACUAUCCGCGAUUGAUUGACUCAAGACCGAGUCGGGUGGCUAGAUGACUAAGGUAAAGUAACCUUAGGAAAGAAUCGCCAGUGAGCACAAUAUGAUAAAGAAUAAAGAAUAAAAAUAAAGAAUAGCUAAUGAACGUAAAUAGCUAAUAAAGAACGGCUACAAGUAAAGAAUGGUUAAAGAUAUAAAGUAGGAUCAGUAGAUCUACUUGUUACAUAGUUGCAUGAUUUACAUAUUGCAUAUCGCGAGGCAAGGUAUGGUUUUAUUAAUUGUAUCAUCGAAUAUCUAUCUAUCUGUUCAGUUUACUAACCUGCAGUUGCCUCCUUUGGACCUGGUGGGUCGAGCUCUUCCCUUGGGUGGCCGUACCCACUGGGAACUAUAUUUAUAUAGUUCUCACCCCCGUGUUGUUUUGGGGGUACAGGUUAGCACGUGAGCG